GAACAAGGUUGGCCACUCCAAACUGCUGAAGUGAAGGCCGAGGCUCGUUUGUUUACAAACAAAGUGAUGGAGUUGACAUGCUUUCAUGGAAUAUAGAGGGUCUACGUAAAUUGAGAGACCAAAUACCGAUAUGGGUAU